rnacentral:lncRNA from 1 species
CCACCCCGAGCCUCGUUCAUCACCCACACCACUCCACCACCAUCCCAAUCUACCUCCCGCACACCACCUCGACCUCGAGAAGGUCUUCUUCCCCGGCUCCGACUACCGAUCCGCCACCAGCCUCCCUGAUCAGCACGACACCACCACUCCACCCCCACCUCCAAAAAUCUGCCAGUAGCCCACUGAUCCACCAUGUGAUCAUUUCCGUGCUUCAAUUUGACAACCGGAGCCCUCUCCGGCGAAGCCCACAACCACCCGACACCGUCGUCCGCCGGAGUCAACCUCGUCGUCGUCCUGGUGCUCGCCGGCGACCACCACCACUACCCACCUACGCGGGGUGCCACCCCGAACGCGUCCCGACCAUCGCCGCCUCCUGAAACGCUGGCGAUCGCCGCCGGUGACCACCGCCUCCCCUCUGUGCACGCGCGCGUAAAGCGCGUUUGAAUUUCGAACCUGACGGGUGGGACCGACCCGUCAGUAUUUUGUUCUUUUCUGUUUUUUGGGAAGCGUCUCUCCGAUUUAAGCUUCCUUCUCGGGGAAGCGUAUUCUGGGCGAGGCGUUUUUACUUGUUACCGCCGGGACCCGCUGGCAAUUAUUUUGUUACAGAGAGGUCCCUGGUUUUAAAUCCUUAAUAACUUUUAAACCACACAUCAGUUUCAAUUGUUUCUUUUUCUGAAAUUCUUGUUUUUCACUCUAGUUUAUUUUAGUAUUUUCUUAAAAAUAGUUUGAGACAACUUUUUGUGCGGUUGCAAAAAAGUUGAAUUUGGACUUUCAUUUUCAGAAAGCGAAGAGGGGGACUAUACCGGGAGUUUUGAAGAACCUCUUGCUGAUUACUUUGGUCAAGGCAAGUAUUAUUGGACUUGGGUUAUAGUGAAAUACCUUCCUGGUUGCAUCGGAGUAGUUUUGCACCAUAUAGUAGUGAUAGUGGAAGCAUGCAUCGGUCACGUCAAUUUAAGCACUAUUGCAUGAACCCUGUUGCAUGUCAUGUGAGCACUAUUUCACUCUUCAGGUAUUUUGCUAACGUAUGAAUGUGGAUAGAAUCCAGGAGUGUAUCUCCUGCCUUGGACAUGCCGAUGGGCACGGGCUGUGUCACGACAAGACGGUGUCACUAUGGCAUGUGAGACAUGCCAGUCUUGUAACAAUACCUCCUGAGUCGGCCUAGAAUCGAGUCUUGUUCCUUUAAGCCUAACUACACACCAUGCUGCCACUUGUCUUCCUGCAAGGGGAGUGUGAUUUAGUAAGUUGUUAACCCCUUUCCAUGUAAACACCACUUAGAGAGGCCACGAUGAGGGUUCCACGGCCAUGGACUAAUGCCAGUCAUCGGGUCAGGGGGCAUGGGUGUAUCCGGCUGGGCCGAGAGGGGGGCACCCCUUGUAAUCCGCGUGUAUUAAUAAUGAUUCCAUGCUAUUCGAGACGAUGGUCUCCCCGACUUAGAGUUUUACUUGAAAGAUGCUUUGGGUGAUUCCUGGCGUCCGGAAAGAAAUUCUGGUGUGUGCUGGUCAGGUGUGUUUCCAACCCAAAGAACAUAAUGGAAACUAGUCAAGGUCUAAACAUUGGCUACAGGAAUUCCAUACAUGUGGGUAAAGAGUACACCCUCCGCAGAGUUACAUCUAUUCGAAUAGCCGUGUCCACGGUCAAGGGCACAGUUGGGAAGGGUCAAGUAUCGGUCCCGGUGUCGGUCUUUGGAGGAAAAUAAUUAAAUUGAGCUUGAUCCAUCUUGCAGGGUAAUUAUGGGCACCAUUGAGGCUGCCAUGAAUAUGCAUAUUAUUGAUGUGUUGGACUAACCUAGUUCUCUUAUUCAAUUGUACUGAGUGUCACUUGGGAUGGCUAGACUACCCAUGCACUUAGCUUUAUUUUCUUUUCUUAGUAUCACCUGGGAUGGCUAAACUACCCGGUUACUUAGUUUUAUUUUCAAGACCUUACGUGGCGUCGCUUGAGUUCUCGGGCGGUCUUGUCUUGCCUGACUCUCUUUUAGACACCCGUAUGGCAUUUCUUUUCAAGACCUUACGAGGUGUCGCUUUCAGAUACCUGUUUGGCAUUUUUCCUGGAAUUUCUCGGGCGGUCUAACGCCCGAUGUUCCACUUUAAAUAUCCUAGCUAUCACUACUAUUAUUUGAUUAUUUUUCUACAUCAGAUCGACAUUAUCAUGUCAUGAUUAAUUCCAGUCAACAUGUGCAUUUAGCAUAGCCCAUCAGCAUUUGCAUUCGUUAUGCCUUUUGUUCAUAAUGUUUGCGAGUACAUUCCAACGUACUCACAGGCAUGUCCCUGGCUAUUGUCUUGGCCAGGCCUUGAGGAGGACGAGCUUGCCGAGGAGGACUGCGCUAGCGAGCCCAACGCGUAGAGGUGUUCCAAGUCAGUCACCUAUGGAUUUGGAGUCUACUACGUGUAUCAUCCACUAGUGCCUCCGCUACACGAAUAAAAUAGUCAAGCCUCACUCUGACGCUUGGCUCACUUUAUUGUAUCGGUGCUAUAGCACUGUCACCCACUGUCAUAUUCCACCACCACUUGUUGUACAAGUUUGUACUAGAUUGUAGAGCACUCUGGCUCCACGCGAUGUAAUAUUAUGUGUGUACUGGUUAUAUUUAUCAAGGAAGUCCACCAGCAGUCCUGAUCUUGGGGCUGGUGAGACUUUGG